UACGUAGGGGGCAAGCGUUGUUCGGAAUUAUUGGGCGUAAAGAGCUCGUAGGCGGUCUGUUGCGUCGGCUGUGAAAACCCGGGGCUCAACUCCGGGCCUGCAGUCGAUACGGGCAGACUAGAGUUCGGUAGGGGAGACUGGAAUUCCUGGUGUAGCGGUGAAAUGCGCAGAUAUCAGGAGGAACACCGGUGGCGAAGGCGGGUCUCUGGGCCGAAACUGACGCUGAGGAGCGAAAGCGUGGGGAGCGAACAGG
rnacentral:rRNA from 1 species